AAUAGAUACCCGGGUAGUCCACCCCGUAAACGUUGGGAACUAGUUGUGGGGUCCUUUCCACGGAUUCCGUGACGCAGCUAACGCAUUAAGUUCCCCGCCUGGGGAGUACGGCCGCAAGGCUAAAACUCAAAGGAAUUGACGGGGACCCGCACAAGCAGCGGAGCAUGCGGAUUAAUUCGAUGCAACGCGAAGAACCUUACCAAGGCUUGACAUACACCGGAAACGACCAGAGAUGGUCGCCCCGCAAGGUCGGUGUACAGGUGGUGCAUGGUUGUCGUCAGCUCGUGUCGUGAGAUGUUGGGUUAAGUCCCGCAACGAGCGCAACCCUCGUUCUAUGUUGCCAGCACGUCAUGGUGGGAACUCAUGGGAUACUGCCGGGGUCAACUCGGAGGAAGGUGGGGAUGACGUCAAAUCAUCAUGCCCCUUAUGUCUUGGGCUUCACGCAUGCUACAAUGGCCGGUACAAAGGGCUGCAAUACCGUGAGGUGGAGCGAAUCCCAAAAAGCCGGUCCCAGUUCGGAUUGAGGUCUGCAACUCGA
rnacentral:rRNA from 1 species